AGCUUUAUAGUUUAAAUUUAAAAUGAUUGCUUGUGGUGCAAGAGAUUUUUAGAGCUU
rnacentral:tRNA from 1 species